UUUUCCUUCUUUUUAGUAUGAUUAUCGGUUUCCCAACAUUCAUUCACUUUUGAGGUUGGUUUAAUAUCUUAAACUUUUUUUUUUGGUUAUUUCAAUGUUCAUUCAACAACGUUCGGAUAUUGACUGGCAUCAAAAAGCUGCACAGUAUUUUUAAUUGGGAAAGUUCUUGUGCUUGUAUUAGUUCUUGUAGAUUACAUCAUUUUCAACCUGAUUUGAUACCGACAUUUGUUGCAUUCAGCUGUUAUACAUGAUGUUUGUUGGUUGAACAAACAAAUAACAAAUGCCCGAUUUGAUAUUGACCUUUGUUUGAAUGUUAUACAUGAUAUUUUAAAUGCCGAUUUGAUACUGGCAUUUGUUUCAAAUAACACCUUUGUUUGUACUCAUUUGUUUAUUGAUUGAAAAUACCAUGUAUUACAUUCAUUGUCUUUAUUCAUUGAACAUUGUUUGUUAUUGGUAUUACAUUUAUUACUGAUUCUACAUAUGAGCUAUAACAUUUUCGAUUCCUGCAUACCAAGUUGCAACUACUGCACAUUACUGUGCAUUUUUGGAGUAGGUUGUUAUUUUUUGCUUUGCUACAUUGUAUGCGUGUUCAGCUGUUAACUAAUUGACUUUAGUAAUUAUUUCCGAAAUAAUGACGUAAUACAUUAUAAAGAUAAUACACCAUUAUAGGCAAACAUAAUACAUGAUAAAGAUAUCUAACACCAUUGUAAUCCAACAUAAUACAUUAUAAAGAUAAUACACUAUUAUA
rnacentral:lncRNA from 1 species